UUAACAGUUUGUUUUUCAAAAUUGAUAAACAUCUUAUUCAAGGUAUAGUAGUAUUAUUAAUGCUUUGGUACUUCGAAACAGGUUUUAUAGUUACAUUUUCGAUAAAUCUUUAACUGCAAUUUCAAAAUAGAUUACUAUAAAUAGAAUUACGUUAUGACGCA
rnacentral:lncRNA from 1 species